UUGAGGUGUAAAAUUUAAUUAGAAAUAAUUUACUUGAGUAUUACGAGUUGCAUAAAGGUACUUUAUUGCAGAAAUCUUAAAACUCAAAAGACUUGGCGGUGUCUUAGGUCCUUCUAGGGGAACCUGUCCUAUAAUUGAUAGUCCACGAUUUAUCUUUCCUUUUUUUGAAAUAUUCAGCUUGUAUACCGUCGUCGUCAGAUUACCUUUAAGAGUUAAAUAAGUUAUCGGGAGGAAAAGUACGGAUUGAUAUUUAUUUGGGUUUUAUAGCUUAGUAUAGACUUCAUGAGAGUAAUUUUCUAGAUGUCAGAUCAAGGUGCAGCCAAUGAAAAGGUAGAGAUGGGUUACAAUAAUUAUUUAUUAUUUACGGAUUUCUUAUUGAAAGUUAUAAGAAUUGAAGGCGGACUUAGAAGUAAUUAGUAAGAAAAAUAGAAAGUUUCGGUGAAAAUGGCACUAAGAUGUG
rnacentral:rRNA from 1 species